rnacentral:rRNA from 1 species
UACGUGGGGUGCAAGCGUUAAUCGGAAUUACUGGGCGUAAAGCGUGCGCAGGCGGUGAUGUAAGACAGAUGUGAAAUCCCCGGGCUCAACCUGGGAACUGCAUUUGUGACUGCAUCGCUGGAGUACGGCAGAGGGGGAUGGAAUUCCGCGUGUAGCAGUGAAAUGCGUAGAUAUGCGGAGGAACACCGAUGGCGAAGGCAAUCCCCUGGGCCUGUACUGACGCUCAUGCACGAAAGCGUGGGGAGCAAACAGG